CAAAACUGAGAGCGCAUGGGUAAUACUUUAUCGAAGCAAGGGUAAUUAUGGUAUAAAAGCUGAGAAGACCUUUUUUUUAUUAAUUUUCCUGCAUUUAAUUUAAUUAUAUGGGCCCCAAAAAAUUUAUUAUUUAGCGAGAUUAGGAGUAUUUUUUUUUUUUAAUUCUUUAAGUUAGUAUUUACUUAACGAACUCGAAAAUUUUAGUUUUCAAACCGAAUUCGAUACUAAUAACUAAGAGUAUUUCAAGUAAAGAAAGACUAAAUAAAAAUUUAAUCACCUUAAGAUCAUAAAAUGGUGUUUUGUCCUGGCCUAAAACAAUAAAUUCUUUGAUUUAGGCGAGUGUUUUAAAUGAAAAUCAUAAUAAAAUAUCAUUGUUCAUAAUCCGCAGCCAUGAAUUAUUUCAUUAAUUUGUACAAAUAUUAAUUACUAAUUUUAAUAAAAUUUACACAUUACUAAUUUGCUUGUUGAAUUUUAUUAUGGAUCCAUUUGAUUCUCGGUUAACGUCAGAAUAAUGCGUUUGAUGGUUUUAACCGAUAAUCCAUUUGGAUUGUAAAUCUGAAAUUUAAAUUUAAAUCUUUUUAGGCUUCAGAAAAUUCAUUUUGACCCGUUCAUGAAAUUAAAAUGUUUAAUUUUAGUUGGAUUGCUCAAAUUCCUUUUCACUCUUAGAAUUGGUUCCGUUUUCAACUAAUGUGAAUUUAUUUUUAUUCAUGUAAUGAUAAAUUCUUUUGAUUAUAAAAUCAUUUUUUAAAUUGAAUUGAUAAAUUAUUUAUGAUAAAUCUUUUGCUAAUAGAGUCCUGAUCUUUAUCAGAUAAGAUUUGUUCCUUAACUUAAGCACACAAUAAUGGUGGAGAACAACGACAACUCAAUAGUCACCAGUCAAUUCCUAGCUAGCCUACUAUUACUUGAAGUUACCCAUUAGCCCAAUUCCUAGCAAAGCCCUCUGCCAAGUCUCCACACCCAUUAGCUAAAACACCAUAUACACACAAGCAACAAGUUUUCAGAAACCAUCACACAUUCAACAAUUGACGACCAUUACCAACAACCCGAUCAAACAAAGAAGAAGACAUUAAAUUUUCAACAUGGGAUUAUCAGCGCUACUCUCGAAACUGAAAGUGAUUAACAAUUCUAGAUUGAACAACCCAAAUAAAAAACAUCACCAAAAUUGACGGUUACCACCAAAUCCGACAGUCACCAAAAUAGCCCCCCCACCGCAACAGCCGUCCACUGGCGAGACUAGGUCUUGCCACCGUUAUCAAUUUCUUGCCAGACAAUAGCCCAUAAGUCAUACCAACACAGUUCAUGAAAGAAAAAGCAAAAUAAAAAACAAACAAACCGUAAAAAAGAAAAACGAGUUUUCAUGGGAUUUGGGUCUUCAAAUCUGGUUAGGAAAUAGCCAAAAGCAAGGAGAAGAACAUACCUUGCAGCAGUGGGAAUUGGAGUUACGGAGAAGAAGAUCUUGUUUGUUAAACCUACGGCUUUCAAGCCCGAUCCAUAAAGUUAGAGGCCUUUAUAUGGAGAAUUAACGACCCUACGUGAAAGAGGAGGUUACGAGGAGAUAUUUGGUGAAUUUUAGGCUUCAGCGAAGAUCAGAUGACGAUGGAGUGCGGCAGUCGAUGGCACCGCAGUGAACCGCGGUGGUGGCUUGGUAGGAAUAAAAAGGAGAGAGAAUGAAAAGAAAAGUAAAAAACAACAAAUAAAUAAAUAAAUAAAAU
rnacentral:lncRNA from 1 species